AUUUUCUCUUAUUUGUUUUUUUCUCCCCCGAAAAGAUCGUCACUGAAGAGUUUGUCUCCCCACCCCCAACCCCAUUCCACUCUCCACCCUUUCCAGCCUUGUUUGUUCUGACCUGCAUCUUUAAGCUCAGGCCCCCAGGCCCUUACCAGGUGGGAACUUGAAAUCAACAUCUGUGAAAAGUUGAGAAGAUCCCCCUCUGCACCUCCUCUCUCCUCCCUCUAGCCAUCUAAGGAGUGAAUCACGUGAAUCGCGGCAAACUACGACAGUACUUGUUACCCACUGUAGAAGCAAGACAGAAGAAGAAAGAAAGGCAAAGGAACAGGAAAGAAAAGUAGAAUACAGAUGACAGGAGCAACAGAAAGAGAUCUACACAUCAUUUCGUUUUUUACUAGUGGAGUCGCUUGGUUUAAGGUUCACGUCUGGGUUCUUCCCUGUGAGAACAGGUUUAUGAAUUAAACAGCUCCCGCAACCUCUCUGCUCUACAGUGGCUGCACCCCUGGAAUGAAUGCACAGAAACCACUCCUCAAUUUGUAUCUUUAGAUGUAACAUGGAAGAAGACAAUAGACAGAAAAACUUGACUUAAGGCCUGGCCUUUUCAGUGUAAGUUCUCCGUCAACAUUGCCUCCCUUUAUUCUCUGGCGUGUUACAUAGUUUUCCCUUGAAUCAGGCAGGAGGAAUAGUAUUUACUCUUUCUAUUUCUCAAAAAUGAAAACUGGAGACCAGUGACCCAGCCAAGCCUGCGCAGCUGGUAAGAAACAAAGCAAAAAGCAACUCCCAGAGGUUCUCGUUCUGAAUCUGGGUUACAAAGCUGUACUACAUCAUAAGGGGAAUAAGUAUUAACCCAGAGAGAGUUAUAUUGAGUUGCUAAGAUAGCAUACCUUCCCAUGUUCAAAACUGUGCUGAAGUUCAAUACUGGGGCUAGAGAAACAACUUAGAAGAUAGCGAUAUUUGCUCCUCUAGGCUGUCAAUGUUAAUUAAUAUCUGAAAUCCAGGUAAAGGUGAAAAAGCCAAUUCCUCAAACACAUAACACACACACACAUACACCACUUUUAUCGUUAUCAUCAUCAUCUAAUUUUUUAAAAGUUUUAAAAAGUUACAAUACUGCAUAAACCUUGUUCAUAUAUAUGUAGAAAUAAAUACUUUCAUGACUUUUUAAAUUUAGUGACAACUUUAAAUUUCCACACAUUUUUAUCAAACUCCAUCUUCAAUUUUCUACAAAUUAUGUAAGUGUUAUAUCAAAUAUAUUAUCAUUUCCUUUUUUAGAGGCAAGAACAUAGAUAGAUCACUGCAAAGUCAUAAAAGGAAGGUAAAUACAUCAUCAGGAGAGUCCAUGUCUGCGUUCUUUAUGUUAAUAAAGAUUGAUGCCGAGGCUGGAAACAGCACUUUGUAGAGAUUGCUUAAGCGCCCCCUGGUCUGCAGCGUUUGAGCAUUGGAUUCCCUGAAAUCCUGGCUGCCACAUAGAUAUGUGAAAUAUUCCAGCUCCCAGUGAAUACAGAGCUGUUGCUAAGUCCGCUCACACUGCGAUAUGCUCACACUGACAGCCCUCCAGCUAGCACAACUGCGAUCUACAUGCUCUCAAGGUCCAUUUUAAAGUUAGUCACUCUUUCUCACCAAAAGCACACACAAGUGGGUUAAGUUACACCCUGAAUAUUACACAUCUGAAGAGCACUGAAGCCCAGAAGGCCCUCCUGACACACUUGCUUUCUAAGAGGUCUUGGAAGUGGGUAACUAUCUUCAGAAACUGAUGAGACUGUCUUACUUCUAGACUGAUUAUCUAACAUGAAAUCAAGACGUGCAGACUUUGCAUCACUCUACACCUUAGCGACAUAGACAAAUUUCUUCCCCAGCAAAGGAAAAUAGGUAGGAUUAGACCUAGUGAAGCUUGAGAAAAGUUUCAGGAAAAGUUUGUGUGUAGAGAAUUUUCCCUUCGGCUCUCUUCUGCCUCAGUGUCCCCAACCGAUCGCCACUGUGUUCAUUACACUUGUAGCUCAUAUGAGUUAGCAAAACUUUUCCGUCCCACAGGCAUUCAACAUUUAAAAUGCAGGCAGCCAUUGUGCUGCUUCCUGUGUGAGCUAAUGCUGAGCUUUAAAGAAGGCUAAUGGGUAAGACAUUAAGAACUCUAUCUGACCUUCCCCAAUAACACACACACACACACACACACACACACACACACACACACACACACAAACACACACACACACACACACACACACACACACACAAACUUGUUCUUUGCUCUGUUACUGUGGCCCUUGUGGACAUUGUUUCCUAAGCCUUGCUUUGGACAUUCAAGUUCAAAAAUAAGAACUGCAUCCCCUCUGUAGCCCAGCCACUCCCAGCUCUAACAAUUUUCAAAGCACUGACAUCAUGUUACAAUUGAACAAAUUUCUUCCUUAGCAUUUGAGUUAUAUAAGCCUGGUUCUAAUAUUUCACUUUGUAUUAUUAAUGACACAGCUUUCUAUUUUGUUUGUUUUGGGGUUUUGGAGGUUUUUUUUUCUUCUUUUUUUUUUGAGACUGGGUUUUUCUGUGUACCCCUGGCUGCCCUGCAAGUCAUUCUGUAGACCAGGCUGGCCUCAAACUAACAGAGAUCUGCCUGCCUCUGCCUCCUGAAUACAGUGAUUAAAGGUAUGCACCAUUACAGCCUCUAGACACAGCUUUCUUUAUAUCUUAGUUUUACUUGCUUUUGAAGAUGCUAAGAUGCAUUUAUGGACUUUAUAAACCUUCAUAGGCUCCAGGUUAAGAUUCUGUACUCUGAGCCAUGACGCAGAGUAGCCUGGGCUGAUGUAAACAGUGCAUAAGGAAGACACAAAGAUACAGCCUUUCUCUGAAAGGCCAUAUUCUAUCACUUAACUGUAUGACUCUUCAGUGUUUAAGAACACCUUUUUUUUUUUUAAUUCUCAAUUUCUGUCAAAAUAUUUAGUUUUCUUUCUGUACUACUAAUAAGUCAGUAUGUCCUGGGCCAAUCAAUCAAUGUUUAUUGAAUAGCUGGAGGUACCUAGGCAAGGCUCUAAGGAAAGAGAUGUCUAGUAACCUGUCCAUAAAUCAAUAAGCAAAUAUCAAUUAAGGAACGACUAUAAAAGAAAUAAUCAGUUUUAGGUAUGGGAAAGGCACAAAAAAUACAAAGAACAACUCAAAGGCCAUGGCAUCAAAGGAUUUAUAUAUCAUAAAGAAAUAAGAGGCAACGGGUUAUUUAUAUAAGUGCGUCUUAGCAACAUCAUGGCAGAAAACCUACAUAUAAAGCACAAUUCCUGGCCAAAAUAAAAUAUGAUAUAGUUAACAAAAAAAUGUCUUAGUAAGCCAGAGGAGGAAUAAGGUGGAGGUCAUUUUACACUUGAGUGGUUAGAUAACUGUUUGUGAAGAACAAGGUAAAAUAUGAGCGGAAUCAUGAGAAAUUAAAAAAAAUGCAUUUGGCAUGAAAGGAAGGCGAUGGCUUAAUUGAGGCAGGCAGAGCAGCACCAAUAAAACCUUGAAUGCAAAAAAAAA